rnacentral:rRNA from 1 species
GAUGAACGCUGACAGAAUGCUUAACACAUGCAAGUCAACUUGAAUUUGGGUUUUUAACUUAGGUUUGGGUGGCGGACGGGUGAGUAACGCGUAAAAGAACUUGCCUCACAGCUAGGGACAACAUUUGGAAACGAAUGCUAAUACCUAAUAUUAUGAUAAUAGGGCAUCCUAUAAUUAUGAAAGCUAUAAGCGCUGUGAGAGAGCUUGCGUCCCAUUAGCUAGUUGGAGAGGUAACGGCUCACCAAGGCGAUGAUGGGUAGCCGGCCUGAGAGGGUGAUCGGCCACAAGGGGACUGAGACACGGCCCUUACUCCUACGGGAGGCAGCAGUGGGGAAUAUUGGACAAUGGACCAAGAGUCUGAUCCAGCAAUUCUGUGUGCACGAUGAAGUUUUUCGGAAUGUAAAGUGCUUUCAGUUGGGAAGAAAGAAAUGACGGUACCAACAGAAGAAGUGACGGCUAAAUACGUGCCAGCAGCCGCGGUAAUACGUAUGUCACGAGCGUUAUCCGGAUUUAUUGGGCGUAAAGCGCGUCUAGGUGGUUAUGUAAGUCUGAUGUGAAAAUGCAGGGCUCAACUCUGUAUUGCGUUGGAAACUGUAUAACUAGAGUACUGGAGAGGUAAGCGGAACUACAAGUGUAGAGGUGAAAUUCGUAGAUAUUUGUAGGAAUGCCGAUGGGGAAGCCAGCUUACUGGACAGAUACUGACGCUGAAGCGCGAAAGCGUGGGUAGCAAACAGG